rnacentral:rRNA from 1 species
GACAGGUCAUGGCGAGCUGACGGAGCACGCCGCGUGAGUGAUGAAGGUCUUCGGAUCGUAAAACUCUGUUAUUAGGGAAGAACAAAUGUGUAAGUAACUAUGCACGUCUUGACGGUACCUAAUCAGAAAGCCACGGCUAACUACGUGCCAGCAGCCGCGGUAAUACGUAGGUGGCAAGCGUUAUCCGGAAUUAUUGGGCGUAAAGCGCGCGUAGGCGGUUUUUUAAGUCUGAUGUGAAAGCCCACGGCUCAACCGUGGAGGGUCAUUGGAAACUGGAAAACUUGAGUGCAGAAGAGGAAAGUGGAAUUCCAUGUGUAGCGGUGAAAUGCGCAGAGAUAUGGAGGAACACCAGUGGCGAAGGCGACUUUCUGGUCUGUAACUGACGCUGAUGUGCGAAAGCGUGGGGAUCAAACAGGAUUAGAUACCCCCGGUAGUAAA